UACACACCGCCCGUCACACCAUGGGAGUUGGCCUUUACCCGAAGGCGGUGCGCUAACCAGCAAUGGAGGUAGCCGACCACGGUAGGGUCAGCGACUGGGGUG
rnacentral:rRNA from 1 species